GAAAGCAGCAUCACCAUUUUCUAGCCUGAUCUCAUUAGAACUCAGAAGUUAAGCAUGGCUGGGCCAGGCCAAUACUGGGAUACCUCGAAGGAAGGCCAUGUUGAUGCUGUAA
rnacentral:rRNA from 1 species